ensembl:miRNA
CAAUAGACAUUUCUGUUUUCACAGUUUGGGAGGCUCGAGUCAAAGAUCAAGGUGUUGGCACAUCCAUGUUUCUCUUGAGGACUCUCUCUUUGGCUUGCACACAGCCUCUGCUGUGUCCUUACAUGGCCU